rnacentral:rRNA from 1 species
GUAGGGUGCAAGCGUUAUCCGGAAUCAUUGGGCGUAAAGAGCUCGUAGGCGGUUCAGCAAGUCGGCUGUGAAAUCCCGAGGGCUUAACCUCGGAACUGCAGUCGAUACUGCUGUGACUAGAGUCCGGUAGAGGAGAAUGGAAUUCCCGGUGUAGCGGUGAAAUGCGCAGAUAUCGGGAGGAACACCAGUAGCGAAGGCGGUUCUCUGGGCCGGUACUGACGCUGAGGAGCGAAAGCGUGGGUAGCAAACAGGAUUAGAUACCCUGGUAGUCCACGCCGUAAACGUUGGACACUAGGUGUGGCGUUCCGACCAACGGGUGCCGUGCCGAAGCUAACGCAUUAAGUGUCCCGCCUGGGGAGUACGGCCGCAAAGGCUAA